GUCGGAAUCUGAAUUGUCCGACCACCAGGCACGGGAGGAUUCCCGCCCUAAAAAACGCCAUGACAAAGGCGAAGAUUGCACACCCAAACCAACUAAGGGUAAGGCACCUGCCAAGCACAAGUCUGCCAAAUUACACACCCCGGCCCCGCGUCAGGAGUACUCUUCUGACGAAGAGCAAGAAGCCCAGUCCAUGUCAGUGCUGGAUGAAUGGCAAGCUGACGCCUCUGACUCGGACUACGACGCAUGGGGUUCGGACGAGAAAUCUGUCUCCGCUUUCAUGC